rnacentral:tRNA from 1 species
GGGGGUAUAGCUCAGUGGGAGAGUACCUGCCUAGCAUGCACGAGGCCCUGGGUUCAGUCCCCAGUGCCUCCA